rnacentral:misc_RNA from 1 species
UGUUCGAGCGUCGUUUCACCACUCAAGCCUCGCUUGUUAUUGGGCGCCGCGGUUUGCCGCACGCCCCAAUGUCUCCGGCUGAGCCGUCCGUCUUAAAGCGUUGUAGCAACUCAAUCCGCUUCUGGGACCGGGCGACCCGGCCGUUAAACACCCCACACAAGGUUGACCUCGGAUCAGGUAGGGAUACCCGCUGAACUUAG